AUAGCUAUUUUCGGGUUUAAAGAAAAUCGAUUUUUCGCAUUUUCAAAGUGCUAUAAUUCCCUUAGUUUUUCUCGAAACUCACUAUAACCCGGUGUUUUCGUGUUGUAGGUGAUGGGAACAAGCCGCUGGUAUAGUUAGUUCAAAUUCGAAAAAAAUCAAUUUUUGGUGAAAAAUUCGAUACGGGGGGGUAUACCCUAAAAAUGAAAAAUCUCAAACUUUGGAGAUCCAUAUCUCGGCUUCUAUGGGCCCUAUCGGGAAAAU